AUUGAACGCUGGCGGCAGGCCUAACACAUGCAAGUCGAGCGGGGUUUUCGGACCUAGCGGCGGACGGGUGAGUAAUGCGUAGGAAGCUGCCCGAUAGAGGGGGAUACCAGUUGGAAACGACUGUUAAUACCGCAUAAUGUCUACGGACCAAAGUGUGGGACCUUCGGGCCACAUGCUAUCGGAUGCGCCUACGUGUGAUUAGCUAGUUGGUGAGGUAAUGGCUCACCAAGGCGACGAUCUCUAGCUGGUUUGAGAGGAUGAUCAGCCACACUGGAACUGAGACACGGUUCAGCCUCCUACGGGAGUCAGCAGUGGGGAAUAUUGGACAAUGGGCGCAAGCAUGAUCCAGCCAUGCCGCGUGUGUGAAGAAGGCCUUCGGGUUGUAAAGCACUUUCAGCGAGGAGGAAGGGUUAGUCGUUAAUAGCGGCUAAUUUUGACGUUACUCGCAGAAGAAGCACCGGCUAACUCUGUGCCAGCAGCCGCCGUAACAC
rnacentral:rRNA from 1 species